AUGGCUUUUUAACCUGUUAGCCAUCUUUGAACUUGUCCAAGGUCUGUGUUCCAAGAAUGGUCCCUGUGAAUUUAAAGACUUUGGCAGCAAUAGGACUUGAGUUAUGUGGUGCACAGAUGGACGCAAAGUCUUCGCAAUACCCGAUGGCCAUACUUUGGCCUUGUGUA